AGCGAACGGCGGAGUAAGACAUGAACAACGUGCCCCUAAGUCCGGGACAAACGCAGAAAUGCCAUAAAUACCGGAUGUGGCCGAGCCUCGGCAUCGUGGCUCGAUUAAACGGAUUUUCGCUUAGGGAGCGGUUCAUGGCCUAUCAGGUAGUUGGUGGGGUAACGGCCUACCAAGCCGACGACAGGUAGCGGGUCUGAGAGGAUGAUCCGCCCGAGUGGGACUGAGACACGGCCCACACACCUACGGGUGGCAGCAGUUGGGAAUCUUGCACAAUGGGGGAAACCCUGAUGCAGCGACGCCGCGUGGAGGAUGAAGGGUCUAGGCCUGUAAACUCCUUUUACCGGGAAAGACUUAGGACGGUACCCGGGGAAUAAGGACCGGCUAACUACGUGCCAGCAGCCGCGGUAAU
rnacentral:rRNA from 1 species